rnacentral:rRNA from 1 species
GACAGAGGGUGCAAACGUUGUUCGGAAUUACUGGGCGUAAAGCGCGUGUAGGCGGUUGCCCAAGUCGGGUGUGAAAGCCUUGAGCUCAACUCAAGAAAUGCACUCGGUACUGGGUGACUAGAGGACCGGAGAGGAUAGUGGAAUUCCCAGUGUAGUGGUGAAAUACGUAGAGAUUGGGAAGAACACCAGUGGCGAAGGCGGCUAUCUGGACGGUUUCUGACGCUAAGACGCGAAAGCGUGGGGAGCAAACAGG